UGGUUCUCCCCGAAAGCUAUUUAGGUAGCGCCUCGUGAAUUCAUCUCCGGGGGUAGAGCACUGUUUCGGCUAGGGGGCCAUCCCGGCUUACCAACCCGAUGCAAACUGCGAAUACCGGAGAAUGUUAUCACGGGAGACACACGGCGGGUGCUAACGUCCGUCGUGAAGAGGGAAACAACCCAGACCGCCAGCUAAGGUCCCAAAGUCAUGGUUAAGUGGGAAACGAUGUGGGAAGGCCCAGACAGCCAGGAUGUUGGCUUAGAAGCAGCCAUCAUUUAAAGAAAGCGUAAUAGCUCACUGGUCGAGUCGGCCUGCGCGGAAGAUGUAACGGGGCUAAACCAUGCACCGAAGCUGCGGCAGCGAACGUAUCACCCAAGACAACUUUACGGAGUUGACGAUUGACGGAGCGAAGCGACGUCAAAGCGUUCAUUAAAGUCGAGUUGGCUUAGGGAUACGUUCGUUGGGUAGGGGAGCGUUCUGUAAGCCUGUGAAGGUGUGUCGUGAGGCAUGCUGGAGGUAUCAGAAGUGCGAAUGCUGACAUAAGUAACGAUAAAGCGGGUGAAAAGCCCGCUCGCCGGAAGACCAAGGGUUCCUGUCCAACGUUAAUCGGGGCAGGGUGAGUCGACCCCUAAGGCGAGGCCGAAAGGCGUAGUCGAUGGGAAACGGGUUAAUAUUCCCGUACUUGGUGUUACUGCGAAGGGGGGACGGAGAAGGCUAUGUUGGCCGGGCGACGGUUGUCCCGGUUUAAGCGUGUAGGUGUGUGUUCCAGGUAAAUCCGGUUCACUUUAACACUGAGGCGUGACGACGAGGCA
rnacentral:rRNA from 1 species